rnacentral:rRNA from 1 species
UACAGAGGAUGCAAGCGUUAUCCGGAAUGAUUGGGCGUAAAGCGUCUGUAGGUGGCUUUUUAAGUUCGCCGUGAAAUCCCAGGGCUCAACUCUGGACAGGCGGUGGAAACUACCAAGCUGGAGUACGGUAGGGGCAGAGGGAAUUUCCGGUGGAGCGGUGAAAUGCGUAGAGAUCGGGAGGAACGCCCGUGGCGAAGGCGAGGCCCUGGACGGCUGCUGACGCUGAGGCGCGAAAGCGUGGGGAGCGAACGGG